ensembl:lncRNA
AGAGGCUGAGAUAGGGGAAGAAAUGUUGAAGAGCAGGAGUAUUGAGGAGCUCCCUGGCGCUGGAUGUAGCCAGAGCAUCUCUACCCUGAUUUCCCGCCCAAUCUGGCAACCCCAGGGUCACCAGAUUGGGCGUGAAAUCGGGCCCAAUCUGGCAACACUGGUUGUAGCAGGGCUUAGCACACGCAGGGAGGCAGAAUGCAUUCACCCUGGCGUGUUCUGGGUGUAAGAAGAGGCCUCCACACGAGGCCUUGGACUGAACGGACCCAGGCUGCAGCCCAGACCACAAAGAGCUGAACCUGUAGAACCCAAACUCAGAGACACACAGCUCCCCAAUCCUCAAACAGAUGUCAUGUCUUGUGGCGACAUUUCCAGGAAAGAUAUUUAUGUUACAAGUAAAAUGGGAGGUUUAUCGACCACAUCGUGGAGGUUAAAAUAUAAAUUCACCCACAAGCACAAACAAAGCCUUAAAAUCACUCUUUAUUAUUGUCAUUAUACACAGUGAGUAAACAUUAGUCCAUAAAUACACACCAUAAUGCCUCCUCUAUUCAGAGGCACCGCUAAAAAGUUAUUUGCGUUUCCACAUGUGCUUGAGUCUCAUUUGUAUAAAAGCAGUACAAUUUGUUACAAAAGAUAACCAAUAUUCACGCUAAAUGGUUAAUCAUAUCACAUUAAAGGGUGCAAAUAUCACAUUGUUUCAUUUCUGUUAGGAGUCACAAUCAGUAAGGCAGGUCUCAGCGCUGCUCCGUAACGUGAGGGCUUCUCUGAACCCCGACUCAACCCGGUCGGGGUUCAGUUUACCGUCAUCUAAAGACGGGUGAAUUUGUGUUUGGCAAUUAUUAAAAAUAAUGUUUUGUCCAUUUCCCCAUCUAUUCCUGAAGAUGUAUGCGUUCUACUUCAAUGGAAAGGUCCUCUCACGGGCUGAGCUCACCGUGUGGGCGUGUCAGAGUGUUUGUCUCUGGACCUACAGACCUCCAACCGGCUGCUGCCUCAGGUCCAAGCUUCUGGGAAAAGGCACACACUGGUAUGGUGUAGCGCUGGUACAGUGUUCCUCUGGUACGGGUUACCUCUGGUACAGUGUACCUCUGGUACGGGUUACCGCUGGUACAGUGUACCUCUGGUACACUGGGUUAGGGUUACCUCUGGUAACCCUGUGUACCUCUGGUACACUGUACCUCUGGUACGGGUUACCUCUGGUACGGGUUACCGCUGGUACAGUGUACAGUGUACCUCUGGUACACUGUACCUCUGGUACGAUUCACCUCCUUGGUCGAGGGCUCUCAAACGGACCCCUUUGGACCGGCCCUGGGGGGUCCUGGUCCAGACCGGCCCUGGGGGUCCUGGUUCAGACCGGCCCUGGGGGUCCUGGUUCAGACCGGCCCUGGGGGGUCCUGGUUCAGACCGGCCCUGGGGGGUCCUGGUUCAGACCGGCCCUGGGGGGUCCUGGUUCAGACCGGCCCAGGGGGGUCCUGGUUCAGACCGGCCCUGGUUCAGACCCGGCCCUGGGGGUCCUGGUCUCCCAUCUCUCUAUGCCUAUGACGUGUUGCUAAUGCGAUCGGCUCCGUUUGGAGAGGCUGGACGAUGAAGCAGAGCACCAGAGGGUCCCCCGCCACCCAGAGCCCUCUACACCACAGACCGUCCCCCAGAGCCCUCUACACCACAGACCGUCCCCCAGAGCUACACCACAGACCGUCCCCAGAGCCCUCUACACCACAGACCGUCCCCAGAGCCCUCUACCCCAGACCGUCCCCAGAGCCCUCUACACCACAGACCGUCCCC